UACGUAGGGUGCGAGCGUUAAUCGGAAUUACUGGGCGUAAAGCGUGCGCAGGCGGUUUUGUAAGCCAGAUGUGAAAUCCCCGGGCUUAACCUGGGAAUGGCAUUUGGGACUGCAAGGCUUGAGUUUGGCAGAGGAGACUGGAAUUCCUGGUGUAGCAGUGAAAUGCGUAGAGAUCAUGAGGAAGACCAGUGGCGAAGGCGGGUCUCUGGACAGUUCCUGACACUGAGGCACGAAGGCCAGGGGAGCAAACGGG
rnacentral:rRNA from 1 species